CAAUAGCGUAUAUUAAAGUUGUUGCGGUUAAAAAGCUCGUAGUUGGAUUUCGGGUGGGAAUGGCCGGUCCGCCGUUUCGGUGUGCACUUGCUACGCCCACCUUGCUGCCGGGGACGUGCUCUUGAGUUCACGCUCGGGACACGGAGUCGGCGAGGUUACUUUGAGUAAAUUAGAGUGUUCAAAGCAGGCCUACGCUCUGAAUACAUUAGCAUGGAAUAACACGAUAGGACUCUGGCCUAUCUUGUUGGUCUGUAGGACCGGAGUAAUGAUUAAGAGGGACAGUCGGGGGCAUUCGUAUUUCAUUGUCAGAGGUGAAAUUCUUGGAUUUAUGAAAGACGAACUACUGCGAAAGCAUUUGCCAAGGAUGUUUUCAUUAA
rnacentral:rRNA from 1 species